CUAGUAUUCACUUCCACAGAUACACUAAAAUUGGAAUGAUACAGAGAAGAUUAGCAUGGUACUCGUGCAAGGAUGACAUACAAAUCUGUGAAGCAUUCCAUGUUUUG